CCUACGGGAGGCAGCAGUAGGGAAUCUUGCACAAUGAGCGAAAGCUUGAUGCAGCGACGCCGCGUGAGGGAUGAAUGCCUUCGGGUUGUAAACCUCUUUCAGCAGGGACGAAGCCUUACGGUGACGGUACCUGCAGAAGAAGCCCCGGCCAACUACGUGCCAGCAGCCGCGGUAAUACGUAGGGGGCGAGCGUUGUCCGGAUUUAUUGGGCGUAAAGAGCGCGUAGGCGGCUACCCACGUCGGAUGUGAAAGCUCAGGGCUUAACCCUGAGAUGCCAUUCGAUACGGGGUAGCUAGAGGCAGCUAGGGGAAAGUGGAAUUCCUGGUGUAGCGGUGAAAUGCGCAGAUAUCAGGAGGAACACCGGUGGCGAAGGCGGCUUUCUGGGGCUGUCCUGACGCUGAGGCGCGAAAGCUGGGGGAGCGAACAGGAUUAGAUACCCUGGUAGUCCACGCCGUAAACGUUGGGCGCUAGGUGUGGGGAGCAUCCACGCUCUCCGUGCCGUAGCUAACGCAUUAAGCGCCCCGCCUGGGGAGUACGGCCGCAAGGCUAAAACUC
rnacentral:rRNA from 1 species